CCUACGGGGGGCUGCAGUGGGGAAUAUUGGACAAUGGGGGCAACCCUGAUCCAGCCAUGCCGCGUGUGUGAAGAAGGCCCUCGGGUUGUAAAGCACUUUCAGUGAGGAAGAACGCCUGGUGGUUAAUACCCAUCAGGAAAGACAUCACUCACAGAAGAAGCACCGGCUAACUCCGUGCCAGCAGCCGCGGUAAUACGGAGGGUGCGAGCGUUAAUCGGAAUUACUGGGCGUAAAGCGCGCGUAGGUGGCUUGAUAAGCCGGUUGUGAAAGCCCCGGGCUCAACCUGGGAACGGCAUCCGGAACUGUCAAGCUAGAGUGCAGGAGAGGAAGGUAGAAUUCCCGGUGUAGCGGUGAAAUGCGUAGAGAUCGGGAGGAAUACCAGUGGCGAAGGCGGCCUUCUGGACUGACACUGACACUGAGGUGCGAAAGCGUGGGUAGCAAACAGGAUUGGAUACCCUUGUAGUC
rnacentral:rRNA from 1 species